rnacentral:rRNA from 1 species
UACCCGCGCCCCUAGUGGUGGUCGAUAUUAUUGAGCCUAAAACGUCCGUAGCCGGUCUUCUAAAUCCUUGGGUAAAUCAGGCAGCUUAACUGUCCGAAGUCCGGGGAGACUGGGAGACUUGGGACCGGGAGAGGUCAGUGGUACUUCUGGGGUAGGGGUAAAAUCCUGUAAUCCUGGAAGGACCACCGGUGGCGAAGGCGUCUGACUAGAACGGAUCCGACGGUGAGGGACGAAGCCCUGGGGCGCAAACAGG